rnacentral:lncRNA from 1 species
AAGUGGCCCCUCCUCCUCCCACAAGUGGCCCCUCCUCCUCCCACAUGGCUCCUCGUCCUCAUCUUCUUACAGUCCUCUUGCUCCUCCCACUGGGACUGAACCCAAAGGCAUCUCUUCAAUGGGGUGGUCCCUGCCUAGGGAAAGCCGGUGCCUCCAGCCCUUUAGUGCCCCUUCUGUUAUGGCGUGUCUCCUGUGAAGUCUCUGUCAUCCCCAAGGUCAAGUUUGCUGGGCUCAAUGAUUCUGUGUGCCCUGCAUCACUUUGCUAGCAGGACAGGGAUUGGCCUCCAGUCUUCAGUCCCUCAUCCCCAAAGCCCAGACUAGAACUUCACAGAUGGACCUGGGGCCCCUCCCGGAGCCGGGCUUUCUGGAGUGUUCUCAUUUGCUAACAUCUGCCUCCCUCGGCAACCUUUCCUCUGUAAUGGAACAGGUCCAGAAGAGCCAUGUGGGCUGACACAGUAAGGCCUCCAGGCAUCUGUGCCGUGACGUGAGCAAAGUGUGAGCUGCAUGGUGGGAUAUGCCAUGCCUUGCCUAGGGGCCCGGGCACUGCCAUCACAGGGAGGCUUGGCCACCAACCGACAUGGCUGCCCCAGGUGGGAAGGGUCGGAUGGAGGACUCUGCCACCCACUCUUGGGAAACACCCCCAAAAUGAACGAAGGAAUGACCUCUGUCCUGUUUUAGCAUCCCGGGAGACACACUGUGGCCUAGGAUCCUGCCCGGCUGCAGGGCUCUGGAUGGGGCGUGACAUCCUGCCCCCGAGGGUGUGGCGGGGAGUCGAUGUCACACAGCUGAGCCACAGGGCCCAGGGAUGUGGUGAAAGCUUUCCCCAGGUCCCAAGUGCCCACAGCCCCUGCCCCAUCCAAGACCCAGAAAUGCAGCUCACUCUAGCCCUUCAGUGCGGGCCCGCUCUCAAGCCUGUCCGUCACCUCCCAGAACUCCCACGUUCCCAAAACCCUGUGUUCCCAGUCUCUUUGGUCUCCAGAACUGUCAUUAAAGAAAGAAGGGGCUAGGCACAGUGGCUCGUCCUCCCAAAGUGUUGGGAUUACAGGCAUGAGCCACAACACCCAGCCUGAAUAAUGCUUUUAACCAGUUGAAUGUUGCCUUCUCUAAUACUACCUAUGACCUGCCCCUCCCCAAUACUGAGCCCAUAAAAGCCCUGGACUCAGCCACAUUGAGGGGACUUUCCUGCCUUUAAGUAGGGGGACCACCCCCAAAUCGCCUCUCUGUUGAAAACUGUUUUAUCACUCAAUAAACCCCCCACCUAUUGUAUCACUCAAUAAAAUCUCCACCCUCA